AACACUUGCAAAGGCUGAUCUAGGGAAGUGAAAUUGGAUUUUGUUAUCUUGUGUUAAAGGCUCUGGUAUGCUUGUGUCUUUAAAACAUUAAAAGCUAAAUGUCCUCAGAUUCAACAUCCUUCAGGCAGGAGAAACGCUAAUGUGGAUGCUGGCUACAAACCUACUUUGCUGUGAAACUCCAUCAACUCAUUAAAAAUGGUUUUCCAACACCUUAAAGCUAUUAAUACCUUGACUGGAAAAUUUGGUUUAGAGAUAUUACUGCACAUCAAUGUUGCAUUUUUAAUAACCCUGUUUAGCAAAGGGAAUAUUGGCUGGUUUAUAUAGACUCAAGUGGGUCGAUAAGUGGGUAACAGGGCAUGUGACAUGCUGGAAAACCACUGACAGAACAAUAACCAAGGUCACUCCAUGUCGUUUCUGCAGAACUGUGGAGCCAAGUCUCCCUUGCCUACUCUUCCAAGCAGGAGAAAUGUAAACUCCUCGUUGUAGAUCCAUGCGUAAGUGGGUUGACUUCAGAAGAGAAGGAAGACUCAGUGGCGGGAGCUGGUUACUAUGGCUAUAUGCAUUACUCACUCUAAAUGGCGAAAUCAAGCCGACAGUCAUUGUAUACAUUAACUAUAUUUGUAUAUGAAGGAAGCUCAUUGCCAGCAGCUGUGUGAAGGUGUCAUGCUAAAAAUCCAACUUUGUUCAUGCCAGUCAAGGACUUAGUGACUUUCAUGCAUUUAAAGCAGUGCAUACUGAAAGCAGGAAAACUUAUGCACUGUUGUAUUGGGUCCUUAGUCCUCCUUAAGCCUGUGGUUUUCUGUAUGGGAAAGUGACCUCAGUUUCCUCACCUCUGUGCCCCUAGUGAUCUUAUAACAGCCUGGGUUGGAAGAGACCUCAAAAGUUCAUCUUGUCCAACAUUCUGUGGGAAAGAGAGCCUAGAUGAGAUUAUCCAACACCUUGUCCAAUCCCACCCUAAAACCUUCCAGUGAUGGGGGCUUGACCGUGUCCCUGGGGAGGUUUUUCCACUAGGAUGGAAACAGCAAGUCAUGACUGGAAAUUACAGAGAUGCUAGCUGGCCCAGGCUCUGGUGCACGGGAUAUGAGAAAAACAUCUUCUGCCCGUGCUGGCCUCAGAGUCCAGCUACUGACUUGUGCGACUGUCAGAGCCACUUUUCCCUUGCCAAAUGUCACUGGAAUCAGUUGGUGAGAACAAAAGUAACUGUUGAUGGGGAGAGAUCUGCAGUGUAACCACAGCCCUAUUUUUUUUUGUUGUUGGCUACAAAUUUAAAGUAAAAUAUUCCAUCUUUCCUUUGGAAGUCGUCCACUGAGGCUAGUGUUUCUGUGGGGUAUCUAGCAAAUAGAGUUGCCUUAUUUUGUUGCAGGGUGAUUGCCAGAGCUGGGUGUUGUUUCCUCCUUUAUACAGUGCUGCACAAACAGUGCCCGGAUUUCCAUGUAAGUGGGAGCAGUGGACUUGGAUAUUCUCCAGUGAUGGUUUGUAGCUUAGAGACCAAACUGAUGGAGCACUUCUAUUACCUGCUGUCAGCUGUGAUUCAGCCUGUUAUGGCUGAAGAGGUUUUUGCACUAAAAGUAGGUGCUGAAUCUUUAAUCCUAACAGAAAAUAGAGUGUAUUUGUUGUAGGCAUUAAGGCUUGCCUUUUGAAAACGGACUGGAUUGCUGCAAUCUGCAAAUCUUUUAAUUAGCCUGAGUUCAAAUUAAUUAAAAACUGUCAUUUAAAGAA